GCGGGUCGUCGGCUGCGCGGCCCCGGUGUCCUGCGACGGCAUCACGAGGGCACCACCUCGGCCGCCACGCGCUCGGGUCGUGUCGGCCGCA
rnacentral:tRNA from 1 species